GAUCCUGCCAGUAGUGAUAUGCUUGUCUCCAAAGAUUAAGCCAUGCAUGUCUGAGUCAGACCGAUCUAAGGUGAAACCGCGAAUGGCUCAUUAAAUCAGUCAUAAUUCCUUGGAUAGUGAUAAAACUUCCUCGGAUAACUGUGGAAAAUCCAGAGCUAAUACGUGCAACUGAGUUCCGACCUCGGCGCGAGCCUUGGGAAGAACGCAUUUAUUAAAUUCAAAACUGACCGGUGUACUCCUUCGGGAUGCGCCGUUCGUCAAAUGUUUGAUGAAUCCGGAUAAUUUAGCCGAGCGCUACGGUCUUUAGUACCGGCGCCGUAUCUUUCAAGUGUCUGCCUUAUCAGCUUUCGAUUGUAGGUUAAACGCCUACAAUGGCUGUAACGGGUAACGGGGAAUCAGGGUUCGAUUCCGGAGAGGGAGCCUGAGAAACGGCUACCACAUCUAAGGAAGGCAGCAGGCACGCAAAUUACCCACUCCCAGCCCGGGGAGGUAGUGACGAAAAAUAACGAUGCGAGACUCUUCCGAGGCCUCGCAAUCGGAAUGAGUUCAUUUUAAAACUUUGGACGAGGAUCCAUUGGAGGGCAAGUCUGGUGCCAGCAGCCGCGGUAAUUCCAGCUCCAAUAGCGUAUAUUAAAGUUGCUGCGGUUAAAAAGCUCGUAGUUGGACUUCCUAGAUCCAUUUCGCGAGCGAGUCGCUCGUUGAACUAGCUACGGAUGUCAGUUGUUGCGACAUACGGUUCGUUCCCGCGUCGCGCUUCUUCGAGACGUUCGUUUCGGAUUACGUUUAUAUUUCUUUCUUUCGGGAGAGUGUGUAUUCAUUUUUCGGAGCGUCCCUCGAUACGAGCGUGAUUAGCGUGGCUUAUCGAAAUCCAACGUACGGUCGGUGGUUGUCUUCGAGUAUUGCGCGUUCGCGUUUGGUACAAUUAAAAUUUUGUCGGCUCGCUCGGAGUGCUCUUUACCGAGUGUUCCAGGGUGGCCGACACGUUCACUUUGAAAAAAUUAGAGUGCUUAAAGCGGGCUAAAACAACGGCCUGAAUGUCUGUGCAUGGAAUGAAGUAACAGGACCUCGAUUCUGUUCUUUUUGUCGGUUUUAUUGAACCGAGGUAAUGAUUAAAAGGGACAGACGGUGGCAUUAGUAUUGCGGCGCUAGAGGUGAAAUUCUUGGACCGCUGCAAGACUAACUACUGCGAAAGCAUUUGCCGAGAAUGUUUUCAUUAAUCAAGAACGAAAGUUAGAGGAUCGAAGGCGAUCAGAUACCGCCCUAGUUCUAACCCUAAACUAUGCUAACUAGCGAUCCGCCGGAGUCAUUCCCACGACCCGGCGGGAAGCCCCAGGGAAACCAAAGUUUUUGAGUUCCGGGGGAAGUAUGGUUGCAAAGCUGAAACUUAAAGGAAUUGACGGAAGGGCACCACCAGGAGUGGAGCCUGCGGCUUAAUUUGACUCAACACGGGAAACCUCACCAGGCCCGGACAUUAUAAGGAUUGACAGGUUGAGAGCUCUUUCUCGAUUUAAUGGGUGGUGGUGCAUGGCCGUUCUUAGUUGGUGGAGUGAUCUGUCUGGUUGAUUCCGAUAACGAACGAGACUCUACCCUACUAACUAGUCGGCGGAUCGUAACCCUGAGAUGGUUAGUUUGUAUAGGUUGGUUUGUCCGAGUUGAGAUCGGUUCGGUCGUUCGUUCGCGAUGCUUUCUUUCUUUGUCGGGUUGAUUUGUGUUCGUCGGGACGCGUAUUUGGUUGGGGAAACGAGGGGAUUAUGUCUCUUCGCAAACCUCCGUUUACGUUUCUCUCGCGCGCAUUUUUUCUCGGCGGGGAGGGUGGUUCGUGUUGCGGCGUCGGGCUUCUCUUCGAAGCUGCCUUCUGAUUACUGCUACUGCUGGGGGCGUCCGUCGCAAUAUAUCUUCUUAGAGGGAUCAGCGGCGUAUAGCCGCACGAGAAAGAGCAAUAACAGGUCUGUGAUGCCCUUAGAUGUUCUGGGCCGCACGCGCGCUACAAUGUAGAGAUCAGCGUGCUUUCCCCUUCCGAAAGGAACGGGUAACCCGUUGAAACCCCUACCCGAUUGGGAUUGGGGAUUGCAAAUAUUUCCCAUAAACGAGGAAUUCCCAGUAAGCGCGAAUCAUUAAUUCGCGCUGAUUACGUCCCUGCCCUUUGUACACACCGCCCGUCGCUACUACCGAUUGAAUGAUUCAGUGAGGGCAUCGGACUGGCGCCUUCGGUUUAGUAACAUAGACCUUAGGCUGACGGAAAGAUGUCCGAACUUGAUCAUUUAGAGGAAGUAAAAGUCGUAACAAGGUUUCCGUAGGUGAACCUGGGGAAA
rnacentral:rRNA from 1 species